GUCCGACCCUGGGUCUCCCGCAGGCCCCUCUGGUAGUCCUCUUCCCACCCGCCGCCUCGGGCUGCGCCGCAGCCGCCACCGCCGCAACCUCCAGCACCGCCGCCCCAGUCCCCGCAGCCGCCGCGUCGCCGCCAUUUUUUAAAGGGUCCGCAGCCUGAUGCUGCCGAGUAAGGGGGGGUGGGGCGGCUGAGUCGGCCUCGCCAGUGCGCAUGCGCGAGGCCCGAGUCGCCGCUUGGAUCACAGUGACCGCCACCGUUGCCCGGGGAUGGGUCCCUGAGACUUUGCGAAGUAGGAGCCCUGUGUGAUCGUGCGUCAGAGUCGGGGCUGAGACCAGUCCUGGCCAGGGCAGUUACCAGGACGGUCUCCGGAGGCCGGGAUUCGCGGAGGGUCCACCAGCAGGAAGAAACGCCAGAAGGAAGAAACCUCAGACAGAUCGCCGGGGAGGCAGCGCGGGAUCCCAGCCUCAGGCGUGCGCGGACGGUGUGCGGGAAGGGAGUGUAUCCUGGUGUAUGACAGCAUAUAGUAGAGACCAGUGUCAAUUAGGGCCUGUGAACUGAGACAGGGUGACUGGCUAAGUCCACAACCCAUUAGAAACCCAGAAAUAAUCAAAUCAUGGCUCCUCCUUGAGUUAUUGGGAAUAAGUAAUGCUUCUCAAUAAAGCUUCGUGUCAACAAAUCUGAACAUAUAACAUCUCAGCUAGAGCAAGUUACUAAAAAUAGGCUCAAUUUGUACCUUGCAGUCAUGCCUUCAUAACCACUUUUCAAUUAAUCCUGCUUAAUUCAGAGAAUGUAUAAAUAUGUAAUUUUGCAUCACUUUUAAGGCAGCCAUUUUAUUUUGAAAUGCAACUAACAUUAUAUGCAUAAAUUCAAUAAAUAUAAAGCUGUUUUC
rnacentral:lncRNA from 1 species